AGGCUGGACACAGUGGAUUCUUUUUGGGGUUUUUGGGGUGACAGGGCUGUUUCUGGGGUCACUGAGGUGUUUUUGGGGUCACUGAGGUGUUUUUGGGGUGCCAGGUGAACGGGCUGGACACGUUGGGUUCUGUUUGGGGUUUUUGGGGUGACUGAGGUGUUUCUGGGGUGACAGGGCUGUUUUUGGGGUGUUUUUGGGGUGCCAGGGCUGUUUUUGGGGUCACUGAGGUGUUUUUGGGGUGCCAGGUGAACGGGCUGGACAUGUUGGGUUCUGUUUGGGGUUUUUGGGGUGACUGAGGUGUUUCUGGGGUGACAGGGCUGUUUUUGGGGUGUUUUUGGGGUGCCAGGUGAACGGGCUGGACAUGUUGGGUUCUGUUUGGGGUUUUUGGGGUGACUGAGGUGUUUCUGGGGUGACAGGGCUGUUUUUGGGGUGUUUUUGGGG